CGGAGGCAGCAGUGGGGAAUAUUGGACAAUGGGCGAAAGCCUGAUCCAGCAAUACCGCGUGUGUGAAGAAGGCCUUCGGGUUGUAAAGCACUUUCAAUUGGGAGGAAAAACUGUUGGCUAAUACCCGACAGCUUGACAUUACCUUUAGAAGAAGCACCGGCUAACUCCGUGCCAGCAGCCGCGGUAAUACGGAGGGUGCAAGCGUUAAUCGGAAUUACUGGGCGUAAAGCGUGCGUAGGCGGUUCGUUAAGUCAGAUGUGAAAGCCCCGGGCUUAACCUGGGAACUGCAUUUGAAACUGGCGGACUAGAGUUGAGUAGAGGGGAGUGGAAUUUCAGGUGUAGCGGUGAAAUGCGUAGAUAUCUGAAGGAACACCAGUGGCGAAGGCGACUCCCUGGACUCAAACUGACGCUGAGGUACGAAAGCGUGGGUAGCAAACAGGAUUAGAUACCCCGGUAGC
rnacentral:rRNA from 1 species